ACGUCUCCUCGACAUACGCGGUCUCUCACUGACAUCUCUUUUGGAGCUCUCACUUCCUCUGGACGCUCUGCUCUUCACACACACACACACGCACACGACACGCACUCAAGAUCAAUCCGCGCAGACCAAGAUGAACCAGGAGACAAAGGACCAGAUGAACAACGCCGCGGCGGAGACGAGCGACAAUGCGCACAACAAGAUCCAGGAGCUGAAGGACGGUGUGAGCAAUAAGGCUGCAGAGGCCCGUGAUGCAGUGGGCAGCACGGUUGAGAGCAUCAAGGACAAGAUAAGCGGCGGCUCGUAACGCGUCCUGCCUAUACGCCUUUUUUGUCCUGUAUUUUUGUAACUUCUGAUGCAGCGGCGGUGCGGUCUGCGGGACGCCGUCGCAUGCUGGCAGACACACACACACACACACACACACGCACACGGACAACUCCUCUUUGUGGUGUGCUUCCCCUUUUCACGGCGUCCUCUGCGGUGUAACCCCUCUCUACUUCCACUGUGUGUGUGCGUGUGUCGAUGCUGCACCUCUCCCGCCUGUGUCCCUUGUUGCACUCUCUGAGUGCCUUGGAUUUGGACUCGGGGGGAGUCGUCCUUGGUGGACCCCGCCAGCACCGCUUUCCUGCUUGCACCACCGUCUACAUACGUCUUUUUCCCGUACACGCCACUCUCGUCUGUGUGUCUGUAUGUGCACGCUGACAUGGCCCACGCACACGGCUUCCACCGCUGUCACUGCAUGGCGUGCUUUUCUCUAUCUUCCUCUCUUUAUGAGUUUGUGUAUGUCUCUUGUUGUUUAUGAUUAUCCGCUAUAUGUCGAGGGGUACUUCCCUUCCUUCCCAGGACUUGCACCAUGGGCACGGUGGCGUCUCGUCUAUCCGUAGCGCAGUAUUGGAGGAACUCCAUCUGCUCUGUAUGGAGGGGGCACGCCUGGAGGGCAUGUCUCCAUCUUUUGUGCUUGCCUCUGUGCAUUUUGUGUGGUGGAGUGUAUGCGGGCAUACAGACCACACACGCCGUGCCGCCGACCAGCCUGGUGAGAAUUCGCCAUGCGCUGGUCGCCGUUGUGCCUUUUUUUGUAUUUUGCUGUUUUCUCCCUUUUCGCGCGCUCUCUCUCGUGCUAGAGAUCGCUGUAUUGCUUUCUGUGUUCAUUUUUCUUGAUGCCCGUUGUUUGUGCUUCAGUCCCUCCGCUGCCCCACAGUCCCUUCGCCGUUCUCUGUGACGGUGGUGACGCGCAGCGGCCGCGGCAUGCUGAGAUGAGGUGCGGCGUGUGUCUGUCUGUGCGCCUCUCUCUUCCCGUGUCUGUCGGUCCCCCACGGCUGCCCUCGUCUCCGCACACGAGUCUGCCGUGGCGGGAGUGCUGUACUGCGCCGUAG
rnacentral:misc_RNA from 1 species